rnacentral:rRNA from 1 species
AUUGAACGCUGGCGGCAUGCCUUACACAUGCAAGUCGAACGGCAGCGCGGGAGCAAUCCUGGCGGCGAGUGGCGAACGGGUGAGUAAUAUAUCGGAACGUGCCCAGUAGUGGGGGAUAGCCCGGCGAAAGACCGGAUUAAUACCGCAUGAGACCUGAGGGUGAAAGCGGGGGAGUCGCAAGACCUCGCGCUAUUGGAGCGGCCGAUAUCAGAUUAGCUAGUUGGUGGGGUAAAGGCCUACCAAGGCAACGAUCUGUAGUUGGUCUGAGAGGACGACCAGCCACACUGGGACUGAGACACGGCCCAGACUCCUACGGGAGGCAGCAGUGGGGAAUAUUGGACAAUGGGGGAAACCCGUGAUCCAGCAAUGCCGCGUGUGUGAAGAAGGCCUGCGGGUUGUAAAGCACUUUUGGCAGGGAAGAAAAGCACUGGCCGAAUACGCCAGUGUGUUGACGUAACCUGCAGAAGAAGCACCGGCUAACUCUGUGCC